rnacentral:rRNA from 1 species
GAGUUUGAUCCUGGCUCAGGAUGAACGCUAGCGAUAGGCUUAACACAUGCAAGUCGAGGGGCAGCAUAAAGUCAGCUUGCUGAUUUGGAUGGCGACCGGCGGAUGGGUGCGUAACGCGUAUGCAACUUACCUGUCAGAGGGGGAUAACCCGGAGAAAUUCGGACUAAUACCGCAUAUACUUGAGAUGCUGCAUGGUAUUUCAAGGAAAUAUUUAUAGCUGACAGAUAGGCAUGCGUUCCAUUAGCUGGUAGGUGAGGUAACGGCUCACCUAGGCGACGAUGGAUAGGGGAACUGAGAGGUUAAACCCCCACACUGGUACUGAGACACGGACCAGACUCCUACGGGAGGCAGCAGUGAGGAAUAUUGGUCAAUGGGCGAGAGCCUGAACCAGCCAAUUCGCGUGAAGGAUGACUGCCCUAUGGGUUGUAAACUUCUUUAGUAGGGGAUUAAAGUUUGCCUUGCGAGGCAAUUUAGCAAU